UUUCUUGAAUUGGACUUGGCAACCCUACCUCCAGGGGUCUGAUAGGAGCCCUCCAGGGCUGCAUGUUUGACACCCCUUCCUUAGUGGAUGUGGGAGUGUACACCUGGCAGCCCUCAGCCUCUCUUGCCGGUAAAAGCAGGGGACUCUAGUGAUGAGUGUUUAUGGGAUCCAGGCCCUGACGGGAUCCAGGAUGAAGAAGGAUGGCUCAGCUAACAGCACUGACCCUAAUGACUGGGCCCAGCUGCACCUGCAUGGGAAACUGGCUACCUGAACUUGCUUUGAGACCAAGUGGCACCCGUGGUUCUCAUGGAGGUUGGCAACACUAGAAGAAGGAUGUGUUCUUAGAAGAUUUAACUCAGGAGCAACAGACUGGUGGCUGUGGAGAGAUUCUGAUGCAAAUAUACACGGAAUCAGAUACCAGACUCAUGGACUCUUUGCCACAAAACAGGAAUUCCUGGAGAAAUUUAAAAGGAAGAGUGACCUACAUCCCUCUCAAGUUAAAGGAGAAUCCCCCAGAACAAGUUGGUGGCCAUGAUUUACCAUACGCCACACAUCCAGGGGCUAAUUUGGGCAAGUGAAAAGGAGGCAGAAGUGCUGUAUAUGCGUGUGCAUGGACAGAACAAUCUGAUGCAACAUGUCGCCUUCUUCCCAAUCCAGGUGCCUCCCCUUCCAUGACAAUUCUCUAUAGAUUAAAUUGAUACUUCUGUUUUUAGAAGUUUUUUGUAUCUUCUGAAUAAAACUGCUAAGGGAA